rnacentral:rRNA from 13 species
UUUAUUGAUAAUAAAAUAAAUUGUAUUGAAAUUGAAAACACAAAUUGAAAAAAAACAAAAAUAGCUAUUUUGAGCCAGUGGUGCAAAGAAGAAUCCACUUCGCUCUGCGCCCCUGCACAAAGAGU